UUAGAGCGUGGUGCUAAUAACG
rnacentral:misc_RNA from 1 species